CAAUAGCGUAUAUUUAAGUUGUUGCAGUUAAAAAGCUCGUAGUUGGAUUUCGGUUAAGAGCGACCGGUCCGCCGUUUGGUGUGCACUGGUUGGUUUUAACUUCCUGUAGAGGACGUGCUCUGGGUUUAACGACCUGGACUCGGAGUCUACGUGGUUACUUUGAAAAAAUUAGAGUGUUCAAAGCGGGCUUACGCUUGGAUAUUUCAGCAUGGAAUAACACUAUAGGACUCCUGUCCUAUUUCGUUGGUCUCGGGACGGGAGUAAUGAUUAAGAGGAACAGUUGGGGGCAUUCGUAUUUCAUUGUCAGAGGUGAAAUUCUUGGAUUUAUGAAAGACGAACUUCUGCGAAAGCAUUUGCCAAGGAUGUUUUCAUUAA
rnacentral:rRNA from 1 species